GACGAACGCUGGCGGCGUGCUUAACACAUGCAAGUCGAACGAAGUGGCGAACGGGUGAGUAACGCGUAAUCAACCUGCCCUUCAGAGGGGGACAACAGUUGGAAACGACUGCUAAUACCGCAUACUGAAGGAGGGGAUUGCGUCUGAUUAGCUAGUUGGAGGGGUAACGGCCCACCUAGGCGACGAUCCCUAGCUGGUCGGGGAGGAUGAUCAGGCACACUGGGACUGAGACACGGCCCAGACUCCUACGGGAGGCAGCAGUGGGGAAUCUUCCGAAAUGGACGAAAGUCUGACGGAGCAACGCCGCGUGAGUGAUGACGGCCUUCGGGUUGUAAAGCUCUGUUAAUCGGGACGCGGUACCGGAAUAGAAAGCCACGGCUAACUACGUGCCAGCCGCCGCGGUAAUAC
rnacentral:rRNA from 1 species